AGACAGCUAACACUCCUUCCUAUAUUUCUAAUGUGAGUUUGGCAGGGUUUGUAGGGAGAUUCCUAGCACAAGGCACUGUGAUUGGCACCAGUAACCUUUGCAGUACUGACUGUUCGCUAAAUGAUUGAAGAGUAUCUGUUCAAAAGUUCGUGUCCACCCAGAACCUAUGAAAGGAAAACAGAAGUAGAGCCCUUACAGAGAUUUCAGAGACGAAUGCUGGAUGCCUGAAGUGACAUCCCAAACAACACCAAGAUCUGUUGCAAACCACCAAGCUGGACAGAACCUGCCCCUCCAGUAUUCAAGAGGAAUAUGACCAGGGCUGACUAAGGUCAAGACCAGCAGCGAUCCAUCAUUUGGUCAUGAGUGUCUGAGAUGCUGUGCGAUGAGGAUAGCAGCUUGCCUACGUGGUCUGUCUUCUCAAACCUCAAUCCCAGUUUAAUCAGAAGGAAAACACCAGGCAAGGCCAAUUUGAGGGACCGUCUGAAAACCACUGUGCCAUAUUCCUUAAAACUGCUCCAAAGACUGUUUUUGACACUGCUUCUUGCCAAAGAAGUCUAAAGCAGACACGAUGGUUUAACAAAAUGAGGAAUCUUCAAAGCAUCCCAGGACAGAAAAAGAACAUUUGGUAAACACCAAGGACACCUGAAUACAGUUGAGACUUUAGUAAUUAUGCCUCAAUACUGGUGUAUGAGUUAUGAAAAAUAUACCAUACUAAUGUAAGAUUUAAUAGCGGAAACUGCAUGUAGGGGACAGGGAAAUUUCCAUACCAUCUGGGCAAUUUUUAUGUAAAUUAAAAAAAACUACCUUAAAAAUUAAGCUAACUCAGCCAGGUAGUGGUGGCAUACACCUUUAAUCCCAGGACUCAGGACGAAGAGGCAGGCGGAUCUCUGUGAGUUCGAGACAAGAGGUAGUUCCAGGAUAGCCUCCAAAGCCACAGAGAAACCCUGUCUCAAAAAAACAAACAAACAAACAAACAAAAAAACAAAAAAAAAGAAUUAAGCUAACUCAGGAAUCAUAUGAUUGUAAAUGAGUAUGAAGAUUGGGUAAUUAGGCAUGGCCACGUCUGUAGGAUGACCUCUUCCCCCCUAAACAACAAAAUUACCAUUAACUCCACCCACUCCAGUUUUCUAAACACUAGAAUUCAAAGAACUAGCCACUCUUUUGAUAACAGAGGACAAAUUCCAUUUUCUUCUUUCCCCUGUGUUCCAGAGAUGUAAAUAUAAACCCAUAAUGCAUAGAGCAAUUGUUACAUUAAUCUUGUGUGUGAGUGCCGGGAAUGAAUCCAGGGCCUCCCACAUCCUAAGCAAGUACUCUACCAUUGAACUACUUCUGAGCCCUAAAUUUUAACAUUGCCCAAUCACAAUUCACAAUAAUAUGGUCCCAAGUUGUUUGGAUUUUUAAAAGAUUUACUAAUUAUGUCUGUAUGUGUAUGUACAUGUGAUUCCAGUGCCUAAGGUGGCCAGAGGCAUCAGAUCCCCUGCAGCUGGGGUUCCAGGCCAUUGUGAGCCGCCUGACACUGAGUAUUAGGAACUGAACACAGGUCCUCUUCAAGAGUAGUAGGCACUCCUAACCACUGAACCAUCUCUCCAACCCCCAAGUUUUCUUUCCCACUACAUGCUCAACAUAAAUCCCCGUCCAGGCUACAGUGGUCAUGAUAAACUCUUAUAUAUCAAAGCUACAUGGCCAGGUUGUGUAAAACCUGCUGGGCCCCAGCUCAAGGCUUUCUGAUUCAUGAGGCCUGGAGCAAGGCCUGGGAAUUUGCAUCUAUAACUAGUCCCCAGUUUCUGCUGCCGGUUGUGGUCCAGGGAGCAUAAUUUGAAAAUCCCUUUCAUGAUUACUUUUCCUUCUUUGUGUGUCUCCAUACCUUUAGAGUACCAUCUGAAAUGUAGUCAGCAUUUAUUGGGGUCAUAGCCACAUAGACUUGUAGGAUUCAGCUAUGAGCGUAAGCAAUAAGACUCCUAUUCUCAUAGCGCUUGCAUUUUAGUCACUAGAGAUUAAUAAACGAGUGAAUCACAGGCCACACUGAGUACUCUGAGAGGAUAAGAGAAGGAUGAAUAAAUGUAGCUAAGGGGUAUGGAGACUCUUGUGUGCCUGGCCACCAGACAUUCACCUCAUUCUCUGUUUUUGUAUUACCAUUGAAUUUCCUAGCAAUGUUGGCUGGCAAAAUGGAGCCUACUUGAAUUACUUCAUGCAGGAAUGCUUAGAUAAAAUAACUGACACUCAAUACUUUAUAAACAACAGAAACUCCUGAUUAACAGCUUUGUUGUAGGAUAUUUUGAUCACACUGUGGCACUCCAAGACUGUUAAAUAAAUAACAGUUAAACCUUGUAUAGGGGAGGAGGGGUGGGAGUGGACCCAGGAACUAGUGGACCAGAACUAGCCAUAGAGAAGCCAGCAAUUUGGAUAGAGAAGAUGCACAGAAAAGAAAAGGCAGGAACUAGAGUUUGAGCUUUUUUUUGGUUCUGGGAAGAAGAGAUAUAAGGUCAUCUUGUUGCUACCCAACCUCUCUGAGCUAACAGGUUUUCACCCCAGCCUUUGAAUCUUGAGUCUUAUUUAUAAAUAAAAAGAUAGAGACUUCAUUUAAACCUACAUAUCACAGACCUGGCUUUCUGGAAAUCCUGCCAGGCCAAGGCCGGAGUGGCCAGUGGGGCACUGACUACAGGGCCAUGGAGCCAUAGAUGAUAAUUAAAAUAUUAGUAGAUCCACAUGUAGCCACUAAGACAACAGAAAAACAUCAGUUCUGAUGGCUAAGACAUCCGUCAUCUGAAAGACUCCUGGAGGCUCAGGCCCCCAGGAUCUCGGUCCAGGACUGCGAUGACCCCAAUCACUGGGGGAGGUGGAAACUUGAUGCAAACAGCAAGAGGUUUUAUUGUAGUUGU